GCAGUCGUGGCCGAGCGGUUAAGGCGGUCGGCUAGAAAUCCAUUGGAGUCUCCCUGCACAGUUUUGAAAUCCUGUCGACUGCG
rnacentral:tRNA from 1 species